rnacentral:tRNA from 1 species
GUCUCGCAGUCACUAUAAAUGGUGAAAAACAGCUCUUAAGGAUACGUUAAUCCAUGUGACAAUUGACUCUUAAUCAAUGGGUCGAGGGUUCGAGCCCCUCCGAGGUCA